ensembl:lncRNA
AGACAAGAUGCAGCGAUUGGCUGAUGAUGAUGCCAGUCUCCUCGAGUCUACCAAUCAGAAGUCGGAAUCUCCACAAAGCCCGCCUUCCACUCCUGUUACUCAAGACAUGCCUUCAGUUCCUUGGUUACAGGCCCCGCCCACAGGGUCCAACUUGAGCCCAUUGGAUUCUGGGAUUAGUAGUCUUUCCAGCAGAACAAAUGUGGAAGAAGAACGACAGCCAAGCUCCAUUGCCUCCACUGCAUCUAUCGCCUCAACUGAAAGUGGGUCAUCGGUUUCCUCUGGUUUGUCGAGUAUCGCAGAAGCCACGCCCUCUCCAGUCUCAAACCCCGCCUCUCCAUCACAAAGCCCAGCCUCUCAAAGCGUUAACCCCGCCUCUCCAGUCUCAAACCCCGCCCCUUCGUCGCAAAUGCCAACUCCACCCGCAAGUCCCGGCCCUUUCAUAUUAAACCUCGCCUCUCCGCCUAAAAACACCACCUCCUAUUUGUAUAAUCCCGCCUCGCCUCUUUUAAAUCAAUCCCC